AUUGAACGCUGGCGGCAGGCCUAACACAUGCAAGUCGAACGAGUGGCGGACGGGUGAGUAAUGUCUGGGAAACUGCCUGAUGGAGGGGGAUAACUACUGGAAACGGUAGCUAAUACCGCAUACCAUCGGAUGUGCCCAGAUGGGAUUAGCUAUGAGGUGGGGUAAAGGCUAACCUAGGCGACGAUCCCUAGCUGGUAUGAGAGGAUGACCAGCCACACUGGAACGGAGACACUGUCCAGACUCCUACGGGAGGCAGCAGGGGGGAAUAUUGCACAAUGGGCGCAAGCCUGAUGCAGCCAUGCCGCGUGUGUGAAGAAGGCCUUCGGGUUGUAAAGUACUUUCAGCGGGGAGGCGUUACCCGCAGAAGAAGCACCGGCUAACUCCGUGCCAGCAGCCGCGGUAUUUC
rnacentral:rRNA from 1 species